rnacentral:rRNA from 1 species
UUAUUGAGUAACAAUUAGAGGGCAAGUCUGGUGCCAGCAGCGCGGUAAUUCCAGCUCUAAUAGCGUAUAUUAAUACUGUUGCAGUUAAAACGCUCGUAGUUGAACUUAGAAUUAUUACAAGUUUGGGUUUUAAUUGAUUUUAAACUGCUUGCUUAAUUCUUAUCUACUAGAUACUCUAUUCUGUACUUAAUUGUAUGGAAUAUCACCUAGCCAGUGGAACUUUGGUAGAAUAAUGCCUUUUUUAAUACCAGAGUGUAAAAACUUGAAGUGUUAAAUUGGGAUCACAUUAUUUUAUUGAAGUGGGGUUCUAGUUAAUUUACUUUGAGUAAAUUAGAGUGUUCAAAGCAGCCUCUUGGGGCUUUGAAUAGAUUUAGCAUGGGAUAAUAGAAUAGGAUUUGAUAAUCUAUUUGUUGGUUUGAAUUAAUCAAAUAAUGAUUAAUAGGG